rnacentral:lncRNA from 1 species
GGGGCCCAUCCCAUCCAUCUCGCCAGUUAAACGCCUCUGGCGGGCGUGGGCCUGGCAUUUCUUCGUGGCUUAGGAUUUCCCCCCCCCUUUUUCGUGAGCCUUUCCUUCCGACGUUGUAAGAAACUGUGCAGGGCUAGAAGGUGGGGAUGAGGGAAAUGGUGAGAGCAAUACCCAGAGGUAAAAGCUGCAGACUUCGCUAGGCAGAAGGGUUUCUCGUCAUAAUGGCUGUGGAAGGGUCAACCAUUACCAGCCGGAUCAAGAAUCUGUUGAGAUCUCCAUCCAUCAAACUGCGCAGGAGUAAGGCAGGAAACCGACGAGAGGACCUCAGCUCCAAGGUGACCUUGGAGAAGGUGCUGGGAAUUACAGUGUCUGGAGGCAGAGGACUUGCCUGUGACCCCCGAUCAGGUUUAGUUGCUUACCCAGCAGGGUAAG